AGAGUUUGAUCAUGGCUCAGGAUGAACGCUGGCGGCGUGCCUAAUACAUGCAAGUCGAACGAGGUGCUUUUGUAGCAAUACGAGAGUAUCCUAGUGGCGAACGGGUGAGUAACGCGUUGGUGACCUACCCCAAAGUGUGGGAUAACAGUCCGAAAGGACUGCUAAUACCGUAUGUGGUCAUUGGAUUUAGAAACUGAUGACUAAAGGAGCAAUUCGCUUUGGGAGGGACCUGCGUCCCAUCAGCUAGUUGGUGAGGUAACGGCUCACCAAGGCGACGACGGGUAGGGGACCUGAGAGGGUGACCCCCCACAAUGGAACUGAAACACGGUCCAUACACCUACGGGUGGCAGCAGUAGGGAAUAUUGCACAAUGGGCGAAAGCCUGAUGCAGCAACGCCGCGUGUGUGAUGAAGGCCUUCGGGUCGUAAAGCACUUUUCUGGGAGAUGAGAAAGGACAGUAUCCCAGGAAUAAGUCUCGGCUAACUACGUGCCAGCCGCCGCGGUAAUAC
rnacentral:rRNA from 1 species